rnacentral:rRNA from 1 species
CCUACGGGCGGCAGCAGUGGGGAAUAUUGAACAAUGGGGGGAACCCUGAUCCAGCCAUGCCGCGUGUGUGAAGAAGGCCCUCGGGUUGUAAAGCACUUUCAGUGAGGAAGAACGCCUGGUGGUUAAUACCCAUCAGGAAAGACAUCACUCACAGAAGAAGCACCGGCUAACUCCGUGCCAGCAGCCGCGGUAAUACGGAGGGUGCGAGCGUUAAUCGGAAUUACUGGGCGUAAAGCGCGCGUAGGUGGCUUGAUAAGCCGGUUGUGAAAGCCCCGGGCUCAACCUGGGAACGGCAUCCGGAACUGUCAAGCUAGAGUGCAGGAGAGGAAGGUAGAAUUCCCGGUGUAGCGGUGAAAUGCGUAGAGAUCGGGAGGAAUACCAGUGGCGAAGGCGGCCUUCUGGACUGACACUGACACUGAGGUGCGAAAGCGUGGGUAGCAAACAGGAUUAGAUACCCCGGUAGUC